rnacentral:rRNA from 1 species
CUUAGUGGCGGACGGGUGAGUAACGCGUGGGUAACCUGCCUUACACAGGGGGAUAACACUUAGAAAUAGGUGCUAAAACCGCAUAAGCGCACAGCUUCGCAUGAAGCGGUGUGAAAAACUCCGGUGGUGUAAGAUGGACCCGCGUCUGAUUAGCUUGUUGGCGGGGUAACGGCCCACCAAGGCGACGAUCAGUAGCCGGCCUGAGAGGGCGGACGGCCACAUUGGGACUGAGACACGGCCCAGACUCCUACGGGAGGCAGCAG